CUAUGGUUAAUUAAUGGUGAAGUUUUUAUAGUUCUUAGUCUUUUACCUAGUUUUUAUAAAAGAUUCAUUAUUGAACCCUUUUUCCUCACCCUAGCCAUGAAUUGAAGUUGUAUAUUAUCAGAGUUGUUGGAAUUGAUCAUGUUAUAGUUUAAUUCACUAUAAUGAUGAUGAUGAUGAUGAGUGUAUACAUUGAAAGUUUUUGAUGAAUUGACGGUAAGAUGUUGAAGAAUGUUUUGGAAGCUAUUUGGUUUUAGGCUGUUAAGGUGUUUCGGGGACAUUUGUUAGAAGACUUGAACUUUUCCCCAAGUUGUUGGUGAGUCCUCAAAGUUCGAGGAUGGUGCCAAUUGUUCUAUCCUAGUAGUAUUGCUUAUGUCUAAAGACACUUAUUCUUUCCUUAUUCUUGAGACUAUUGUUUUAAGUGUAUAUGUGACAUACUUUACUUGUAAGGGCUAUGCCCAAACCUUUGUAACUCUCGUUUAAAUGGAUAUAUGUGAGACAAAGUAUUAAAUUACUUAAAUGAAUUGACCAUGCUAAAUGAUA